GUAGUUAGCCGGGGCUUUCUUACAGGGUACCGUCACUUCUUCGUCCCCUGCGACAGAGGUUUACAAUCCGAAAACCUUCUUCCCUCACGCGGCGUUGCUGGGUCAGGCUUGCGCCCAUUGCCCAAUAUUCCCCACUGCUGCCUCCCGUAGGAGUCUGGACCGUGUCUCAGUUCCAGUGUGGCCGAUCAGCCUCUCAGCUCGGCUACCCAUCGUCGGCUUGGUGGGCUGUUAUCUCACCAACUACCUAAUGGGACGCGAACCCCUCUAAAAGCGAUAAAUCUUUGACCUCUUCCCGAUGCCGGGUUGUGGUCUUAUGCGGUAUUAGCAGUUGUUUCCACCUGUUAUUCCCCACUCUUAGGCAGGUUGUUCACGCGUUACUCACCCGUGCGCCACUAGAAUUAUCAAUUCCAUCCGAAAACUUCCUUAAUAAUCCCCGUUCGACUUGCAUGUGUUAGGCACGCCGCCAGCGUUCGUCCUGAGCCAUAGUACAACUAACUACGUACGUACGUAGACGGCGGUCGUCGACGGAACGGCGACGUAGUAG
rnacentral:rRNA from 1 species